GAUAAACGCUGGCGGCGUGCCUAAUGCAUGCAAGUCGAACGGGAGCGCUUUCGGGCGUCGACCGUGGCGGACGGGUGAGGAACACGUGGCUAACCUGCCCUGAUCUGGGGGAUACCCGCCGGAAACGGCGACUAAUACCGCAUGAGCUUGCCUGGGGGGACCUGGGCAAGGAGAGGUUGCAAGACCGGGUUUGGAGGGGGCUGCGGCCGAUUAGCUAGUUGGUGGGGUAACGGCUUACCAAGGCUUCGAUCCGUAGCUGGUCUGAGAGGACGAUCAGCCACACUGGGACUGAGACACGGCCCAGACUCCUACGGGAGGCAGCAGUGGGGAAUCUUGCGCAAUGGGGGCAACCCUGACGCAGCCAUGCCGCGUGAAUGAUGAAGGCCUUAGGGUUGUAAAGUUCUUUUGCCCGUGACGAUGAUGACGGUAACGGGAGAAUAAGCUCCGGCUAACUUCGUGCCAGCAGCCGCGGUAAAAC
rnacentral:rRNA from 1 species